CCGACUAUUGUCUAGUGUCUGUGUACUGACUAUUAUGUAUGUAUUGACUAUUGUCUAGUGUCUGUGUAUUGACUAUUGCUGGACACUGCUCACAAGCAGCAUUUUUUGAGUGAGUUGGGUUUUACGCCGAUUUUAGC